rnacentral:rRNA from 1 species
CAGCAGCCGCGGGAAUACAGAGGGUGCAAGCGUUAAUCGGAAUUACUGGGCGUAAAGCGCGCGUAGGUGGUUUGUUAAGUUGGAUGUGAAAUCCCCGGGCUCAACCUGGGAACUGCAUCCAAAACUGGCAAGCUAGAGUAUGGUAGAGGGUGGUGGAAUUUCCUGUGUAGCGGUGAAAUGCGUAGAUAUAGGAAGGAACACCAGUGGCGAAGGCGACCACCUGGACUGAUACUGACACUGAGGUGCGAAAGCGUGGGGAGCAAACAGGAUUAGAUACCCGUGUAGUCCCUGUCUCUUAUAC